ACGAACGCUGGCGGCGUGCUUAACACCUGCAAGUCGAACGGAAAGGCCCUGCUUUUGUGGGGUGCUCGAGUGGCGAACGGGUGAGUAACACGUGAGUAACCCGCUCGUGACGUUGGGAUAACCGCAGGAAACUGGGGCUAAUACCGGAUAGGAGCUCCUGCUGCAUGGUGGGGCUUGGAAUGUUGCGGCGGUUGGGGGUAGAUUCGCGGCUAAUCAGCUUGUUGGUGGGGUAGUGGCAUACCAAGGCUUUGUCGGGUAGCCGGCCUGAGAGCGUGACCAGCCACAUGGGGACUGAGAUAGGGAGCAGACUCGUACGGGAGGCAACAGUGGGAAAUAUUGCACAACGAGCGGAAGCGUAAGGCAGCAGCGCCGCGUGCGGAAUGACCGCCUUCAGGUUGUAAACCGCUUUCGCCUGUGACGGAGCGUGAGUGACGGUAACGGAUGAAGAAGCACCGGCUAACUACGUG
rnacentral:rRNA from 1 species